GACGGAGGAUGCAAGCGUUAUCCGGAAUUAUUGGGCGUAAAGCGUCCGUAGGUGGCUUGGAAAGUCAGUUGUUAAAGCCCACAGCUCAACUGUGGAUCGGCAAUUGAAACUACUAGGCUUGAGUGUGGUAGGGGUAGAGGGAAUUCCUAGUGUAGCGGUGAAAUGCGUAGAUAUUAGGAAGAACACCAGUGGCGAAGGCGCUCUACUGGGCCAUAACUGACACUGAUGGACGAAAGCUAGGGGAGCGAAAGGG
rnacentral:rRNA from 1 species